AAAAUUAGUUUUUGAAAAAAAUUUUCUCGAAUUUUAGAGGGCUAAAAAUUAAUAUAUUUUAAUGUGGAAUAAUUAUUUAGAAUAAAUUUUUUGUAAUUAAACGUUAGUCGUUCUUUAUAAUAUCUAGUUAUCUAAGAAAUUAAUUUAAUUAACUAAAGUAAAUUAAUUUUUUUUUGUAAAGAAAAAAUUUUAUGUUUAGAAUAUUUAAGGGGAAAAGCUUUUAAGUAAAUUUUUAUAAUAAUUUAGAUUUUAAUAAUGAAUAGGAUUAGAAGUUUCCAUUUUUUAGUGUGUUUUUACUAGAUUUUAAAUAAUUUAAUUUUUUUUUGUUUAAGUAUUUUAUUAGAAUAAGGAUGAUAAUAAAUUAAUUCAGGAAAAAUGAUUAAAUUAGUAGAAUUAAAUGUUAUAGAAUUAUUAUAAAUUGAAAAUUAUUUUAAGGAAUUCGGCAAAUUACUUUUCGCCUGUUUAAUAAAAACAUGUCUUCUUGAAAUUAAUAAGAAGUCUGGCCUGCCCAAUGAUGAUUUAAAUGGCUGCGGUAUUUUGACCGUGCAAAGGUAGCAUAAUCAUUAGUUUUUUUAUUGAAAGCUGGAAUGAAUGGUCUGACGAGAAAGUAACUGUCUUAAUUUAAAAAUUUGAAUUUUAUAUUUAAGUGAAAAAGCUUAAAUAAUUUUGAGGGACGAGAAGACCCUAUAGAAUUUAACAAUAAAUUAUUUGUAAAAGUUAUAGAUUAGGUUUAUUUAUAAAUAAAUAAUUGAUUUGUUGGGGUGAUGAAAAAAUUUAAGAAACUUUUAUUUUUAUUUUUCACUAAUAGGUGAAUUUCUGAUCCAUUAGGAGUGGUUAUAAGAAAAAAUUACCUUAGGGAUAACAGCGUAAUUAAUUUGGAGAGUUCAAAUCGAUAAAUUAGUUUGCGACCUCGAUGUUGGAUUAAAAUUAACUUUUGGCGAAGGGGCUGGAAGGUUGAGUCUGUUCGACUUUUAAAAUUUU
rnacentral:rRNA from 1 species